GACUGUAGCUCAAGGGCAGAGUUCCUGCUUUGCAUGCAGAAGGUCCCAGGUUCAAUCCUCAGGAAGGUGAAACC